GGCUUAAGGAUGAUGUUGCAAGCCACACAUACGUCCGACCUCUAGGAGUCGUCCACACGAGCCCACGAAUCUCGAUCAGAAGUCCUGCUUCAGGAAAUCAGCACAGUAUGCUAGUACUGUGCUGAUCCUUCUUUGAUGGUUGAUCAGGUGCCUCCUUCUUCUUGAUUUGGACUCUUCCAAAGAUGAAAAGUAAAAGGAGGAGUUUCAGAUCUAAGACGCUCUCAGAAAACUCAAGAUGGAGGGAGGAAAGAUAUGAAAACAAAAAACCCUAGAAGAAGACCCUCUUCUUCUUCACGUUUUUCUCUCUAGACACCCUAACUUGCAUUUUUUAUA
rnacentral:lncRNA from 1 species